rnacentral:rRNA from 1 species
GAGUUUGAUCGUGGCUCAGGAUGAACGCUGGCGGCGUGCCUAAUACAUGCAAGUCGAGCGGUAAGGCUCCUGCAGAUUAUUCAAGCGAUGAAGGUAACUUCAUCAACCCCUUCCUGGCUAGGAAAGCGGACAAGUUUGAAUGAUGUGCUGGAGUACACGAGCGGCGGACGGGUGAGUAACGCGUAAGAACAUACCCCAAACUGAGGGAUAAGCACCAGAAAUGGUGUCUAAUACCGCAUGUGCUCUACGGAGUAAAGCUACGGCGGUUUGGGAAUGGCUUGCGUCUGAUUAGCUAGUUGGUAAGGUAAUGGCUUACCAAGGCGACGAUCGGUAGCUGUUCUGAGAGGAUGAUCAGCCACACUGGGACUGAGACACGGCCCAGACUCCUACGGGAGGCAGCAGUAGGGAAUUUUCCACAAUGGGGGCAACCCUGAUGGAGCAACGCCGCGUGCAGGAUGAAGGCCUU